AAUUUGCAGUGUCGCAUUUAACUUGCCUUAAAAGGUGGAGAGAGAAAUCUAGUAUUUGCACUUAGCAAAAAAUGAAAAGGGGGGCGGGGAAAAGAGCAAACCCUAUUGAGGGAAAAUUGUGCAUGUCCUGCAACUUUGUAUAACAAUUGCUUUAAAAACGAAUAAGUGGUUUAUUAAUAAAGAAAGGAAAAAAGAAUAUUUUUUCUUUACCUUCUGGUAGGAAACAAUUCUAAUAUUCUGUGUGUAAAAAGUCUCUGUAUUAUAUUGUAAUUUGAAUUUUUUGUAAUUAAGACAACAACCUUG